ACGUUUUGACCCCCUCUAAGGGAUAGAGAAUAGAGACCGUUAAAAGAGUCGAUACUGUCAUCUCCUUUCUCUUCACUUAAAGUUAAGGCUUGUUUUUUCACUCCCAAAAUAGAAAAGAGCAAAACAAUGAUGCGAAAUCAGAGAAAUAAAAAGAAAAAAAAAAAAAAACUCCAUUUCUCUUCUGCACAGAGAAAUCACGGGAUAGAGAAAAAGAAGAAUGAGCGUGAUCCACAUCCUCUUCAGAGUCGACGACAUUUGCAAGAAAUACGAGAAGUGUGAUCUCGACAAGCGACGCGAUCCGAAUUCCCAAAGUGACGAAGCCUUUGCUCGCUUUAUACUGCUGUUGAAACCGAAAUCCAGAAAGCUCUUCAUAAAGCAGAAGCGGCCUCGAGAGAGAAAAAUAAGGCGGCUUCUGUUUCCAUGAUCGCAGAGGUUCGUCGGACCAAGGCUCGAUUAAAGGAGGAAUUCCCUAUGCUGCAGAAAUUGGCUCGCAAAAAGCUGACAUAUCUGCAGUGACACUGACCUAUCUCUAAUUCAAGGUAGGUGCAAAUUUCUUGUGUAUGAUGGCCACAAUCUUGCCACCUUAACAUUAAGAGGGCUGAAGGGCCAAAAUAAAUAUAACACCUAUGAUGGUGGUUGCACCAGUGUGUCUAUUUCCCUCUUUAUGGGGUAUUCCUUUUGUGACAGAUCAAGAGCCCUAUCACAGAAUUGCAACAUCUACCAGAACAUUAUUCUUAGAAAAUUUCCAGAAGAUACUGCAGCAUCAGAUGCUGACCUUGAUGUGAGAUUGAGACUCCAUAGACAAGAUUAUAGAUGUGAGGUAUACCCCUAGUUAUUUUCUUGUUAAACUUAUGGUGGAGCUUAAGGAAACAUACUAUAUAAGUGUCUUUUUAUAUUUUUAAAUAUCAAUUGGAGGAGCAUUGCAUUGAAUAUUCUUCCCAAAGAUAUGAAUGGCUAUCAUGGCCAUGAUAUUAGUCUUAAAAAUUAGCCCAAAUUAGUUAUAAUCUCUGAUUGUUGUUUUGAAUGCACUUGAAAGGUUUUAACUUCUUCUGAUCAAUCAUGCAGAGAUGACUUUAGCAAAGUUUCAUAGAACUUUAAUCUUAAUAUUUUUUUCUAUACGUGCGGGUUAAAGAGCUUACAAAAGAAGAACAAGAAACUCGUUAUGAUCUGGUCCUUGCACUUUCAGACGGGAUUGAUGCAAUGCCAGACGUCACCACAACUGCAGUUAUUGCAACUAGGGGACGGGGAACUUCACCAUCUAAUAAAAAUAUAGUGUUUGACUCAUCAGGUGUUUACUAUUGUUGUGCUCUUCAUUUCAUUACAAUUCUUUUGAAUUUUUUCUUUUCAAUUCAAUGCCAAUGUUUAAAAAAUGCAUAAUUGAUUACUGGGAACAAAUCAUCAGAUGGGAACUUUAGCAGUGAUUUCUUCAAACAAACCAAAGAGUCAAAUCAAUUUAGUCAAGAAUAUGAAAUGCGGAAAAUGAAACAGGCAUGUAAGACUCCUAAUCAUUUCAGGAAAUUUGCAUACAUACAUGUAGAUACACAUAAAUGUGUGUCUACCCUGUAAAUCUGAAGGUAAGAACUAGGUAAAUCUGAUUCAAUGAUAUCUAUACAGGAUCAAUGUCUUGAUAUUAUUUCAGAGGCUUUCAACAUCUUUGUUCAUCUCUAUCGGCUUGGCAUGGUUUUGCCACUGCAAUUAAAUUGUAUUCGAGGAGUUCCUAUUGGUUCAUUGUUACUCUCACUGCAAUCACCAAUUUCUAAAGCAAAAAGAUCAAGUUCAAGAUGUAAAUGAUACUAAAAUUAUAUUACAAUGCUUUCAUCUGCCAAUAUUGCUUUUCAAUUCGGUUAAUCCAUGAGCAGAAGAUUAAGAUGCUUUUUAGUUAUUUAAUUUCAGUAUUGAAUUUAUAGAUAGCCAUAUUUCUGUUCAUAUUACAAACGUUGUAAAGCUAGGAAGCUCUAAAUAAUGGAAAGCAUAACACUUCACACACGCAUAUACAACUAACCACAAAUUAUGAGUACAGACUUGUAUUUAGUUGCAAUUAUCUCCCAAUACUUGGAUUCUUAUGUAAUUUAGUGUCCUCAUAUACAUUUUAUGCUGUGUACAGUCUGACCAUUGGCUCCAAGCUGGCCACCUAAAAGAGUAACUCCAUGCUGCCUUUCUGAAGAGAUUUAUUACUGUAAGUAUUUACCUGUGAAAGUAAAUUCAUUAAGCUCCUGGAAAUAAUUGAUUGGAUCGGACAUAUUAGGGUAGAUGCCUUCAUGACAUUGCAUAUAAUAGUUUAGGUCAUUGUUGCAUAGUGUCUUGUUAUGUGGAAGUUCCUCAAGAUCCAUGUUAUCACUGUUUGGCUUCCUGUUGGACAGGAGAAUAUUUUCAUAUCUGUUUUCCUGAGCACUAGGUUUCCUCUUCUGUGGAUCUAAAUAAGUCUCCAAAGAAGAAGCUGUUAAUGGGGAUUUUCCAAUAUUGUCAGAAUGGCCACCGCCCUCAUAGCCUGAGGGAAUACUUUUGCCGUUGUUGCUACUGGAAAUAGUUUGAAUGGGAAGUAGAGGUUGAUUAGCAAGUACAACACAGUUUUUGUAUAGACAAUCAGUGAUAAUGUCAGUGUUGUAGUCCAUGUAUGUAGGGCUUCCCUCGUCAAUCUUGGGCAAGUAUCGCGCCAUUAAUUCUGCCUUCUGAUUGCCAUGAACUUCGCUUGCACUCUUCAGCAUGCUGCCUUUUAGUCGAACCCGGCAUAGAACCCAGUCAUCCAACUGUCAAAAUCAAGCAACAAUUUAUUUUUCAUGCACUUGGUAGUUUAUGAUGAGUAAAGGUGAUUGCACUUACUCUCAUGGAUCCUUUUAACCUGGAAGGUUUAAUCAUGGAGUCAAGCAAUCUAUACUCGUUCAUUGUCCAGUCAGUCUUGAUUCCUUUGGGAGGACGACCAGUGUAAAAGACGAGAGCUUUCUUGACUCCAAGAUUCUUUGAUCCAUAAGAACUGAAAAUAGGUUUGUCAGUACCAGUAGCCUUCCAAUAACCUGAACCAGCAGCCCUGUUUGGCCUUUCUCCAUUAGGGUACUUCCUAUCUCUUGGACUGAAGAAAAACCAUUCAUCUUCACCAAACAAAGCCUUCUCUGCACAAAUAAACAAUCACACAAGGUCAUUUUAGGGUUUAUCGAAAUUCAUUGAAUAAAUGAAAUAAUAUCAGUGAAAUGAGGUUCAUGAAGAACUGACUUGGUAGCUCCCAAGGGUUAUACUUGUACAAAUCUAUUUCAGCAAUUACUGAUGCUGGAAUUGGACGUGAAGUCACUUUGUUUUGUAAGUAAUGAACGAUGAGUUCUUCAUCAGAAGGAUGAAACCUAAAACCAGGAGGAAAGUGGAAACCUGGUGAACUGGGUUGCCCCUCCAUGAACAAAUGUCUUCGUUGUGAACGCAGUGGGAAAAGAAAGAUGGAAUCAAGCGUAACGAUGAUAACAAGACCAUGCAAGAACUGGGACGAGGGGCAGAAUAUAUAUAUUGUUCAACGCCAUGCAGAUACGGAUACUAUUUAACAUAAAAAUACAACAAACAACCAUUAUACGUACGACUUCAUACAUUUGAACUCAAAAUUGACAUUCCAUUCGCCUAAAAAGUAGCACUUGUUCUUAUAUUUUAGUACCUUUUUUUCUGGUAAUAUUGAUGCUUUUUAACUAGAGAUGAUAAUGUGAUCUGUAAAAUUGGGUUUUCAACCCAUCUCUCCUUGAAUAAAGAGGGGAUUUACUAAUAAAAACAAAAACGAGAAUA